rnacentral:rRNA from 1 species
GAUGAACGCUAGCGGCAGGCCUAAUACAUGCAAGACGAACGGUAAGUUGAGUAGCAAUACUUAGCCAAGAGUGUCGUACGGGUGCGUAACACGUAUGCAACCUACCCUAUACAGGAGGAUAGCCUAGGGAAACCUGGAUUAACCCUUCAUAGUAUUAUUGGAUGGCAUCAUUUGAUAAUUAAAACUGAGGUGGUAUAGGAUGGGCAUGCGUCUGAUUAGUUAGUUGGCGGGGUAAUGGCCCACCAAGACGAUGAUCAGUAGGGGUUCUGAGAGGAAGAUCCCCCCACACUGGCACUGAGAUACGGGCCAGACUCCUACGGGAGGCAGCAGUAGGGAAUAUUGGUCAAUGGAUGCAAGUCUGAACCAGCCAUGCCGCGUGCAGGAAGAAGGCCUUCUGGGUUGUAAACUGCUUUUGCCAGGGGAUAAAAUUUCCAUGCGUGGAAAACUGAAGGUACCUGGUGAAUAAGCCACGGCUAAACUACGUGCCAGCAGCCG